GAUGCUUAGACUGGCACCUACCUUGAAGGAGCACAAUGAAUAUUAGAUCAUGACUCAGUGAAAACUUGCAUCUAAAUGCGCAUGUGAACUUUGUGGCUUGAAUUUUUCUCUGCAAUAAAUCAGUUUUAUUUAAGUAAUACACUUGUCUUCUACUUAGGCAUUCAGUGGAAGGGACAGUGACAGGAUGCCCUGGGACAGGCCUUUUUUAGUUGUCUGGAAAAAUAUUAUUGCUUACAUAUCCAUUAAAGCAAUAAUUCCACAUUAAGCAUGUAAAAGCUCAAUGAUCUGUGUCCUUCUGUGUAUUUACUGACCAUAUCUUUGCUGUGAUGGCUCACUACUGACACUGCACCUUUUGCACUGAGGAUAGGUGAGUAUGAGUGGAGCAUCCAAUGCUGAGGUCGGCACCAUUACUGGAAAACAUCCAGCCUUUCUGGACCUGCUGCCGUUCACACGCUGCACUGACAUUUUGCAGCUCCUAAUAUUUUGCUGCCCUGGGCAACCACCUAUUAUGCGGUUUUGUUGCAAAGCCAUUCUACCAUGGAAACACUUCCAGCCCACCAGCAACUGCAGUUUCAUUAGCGUGUGGCCCUUUAAAGCCAUCCUUUGUGACCUCAGUGACUCAACAUGA
rnacentral:lncRNA from 1 species